UAAUACCGCAUACGCCCUACGGGGGAAAGCAGGGGAUCUUCGGACCUUGCGCUAAUAGAUGAGCCUAAGUCGGAUUAGCUAGUUGGUGGGGUAAAGGCCUACCAAGGCGACGAUCUGUAGCGGGUCUGAGAGGAUGAUCCGCCACACUGGGACUGAGACACGGCCCAGACUCCUACGGGAGGCAGCAGUGGGGAAUAUUGGACAAUGGGCGGAAGCCUGAUCCAGCCAUGCCGCGUGUGUGAAGAAGGCCUUUUGGUUGUAAAGCACUUUAAGCGAGGAGGAGGCUCCUUUAGUUAAUACCUAAAGUGAGUGGACGUUACUCGCAGAAUAAGCACCGGCUAACUCUGUGCCAGCAGCCGCGGUAAUACAGAGGGUGCGAGCGUUAAUCGGAUUUACUGGGCGUAAAGCGUGCGUAGGCGGCUUUUUAAGUCGGAUGUGAAAUCCCUGAGCUUAACUUAGGAAUUGCAUUCGAUACUGGAAAGCUAGAGUAUGGGAGAGGAUGGUAGAAUUCCAGGUGUAGCGGUGAAAUGCGUAGAGAUCUGGAGGAAUACCGAUGGCGAAGGCAGCCAUCUGGCCUAAUACUGACGCUGAGGUACGAAAGCAUGGGGAGCAAACAGGAUUAGAUACCCUGGUAGUCCAUGCCGUAAACGAUGUCUACUAGCCGUUGGGGCCUUUGAGGCUUUAGUGGCGCAGCUAACGCGAUAAGUAGACCGCCUGGGGAGUACGGUCGCAAGACUAAAACUCAAAUGAAUUGACGGGGGCCCGCACAAGCGGUGGAGCAUGUGGUUUAAUUCGAUGCAACGCGAAGAACCUUACCUGGCCUUGACAUACUAAGAACUUUCCAGAGAUGGAUUGGUGCCUUCGGGAACUUAGAUACAGGUGCUGCAUGGCUGUCGUCAGCUCGUGUCGUGAGAUGUUGGGUUAAGUCCCGCAACGAGCGCAACCCUUUUCCUUAUUUGCCAGCGGGUAAUGCCGGGAACUUUAAGGAUACUGCCAGUGACAAACUGGAGGAAGGCGGGGACGACGUCAAGUCAUCAUGGCCCUUACGGCCAGGGCUACACACGUGCUACAAUGGUCGGUACAAAGGGUUGCUACCUCGCGAGAGGAUGCUAAUCUCAAAAAGCCGAUCGUAGUCCGGAUCGCAGUCUGCAACUCGACUGCGUGAAGUCGGAAUCGCUAGUAAUCGCGGAUCAGAAUGCCGCGGUGAAUACGUUCCCGGGCCUUGUACACACCGCCCGUCACACCAUGGGAGUU
rnacentral:rRNA from 1 species